AGUGAACGCUGGCGGUAGGCCUAACACAUGCAAGUCGAACGGCAGCACAGUAAGAGCUUGCUCUUACGGGUGGCGAGUGGCGGACGGGUGAGGAAUACAUCGGAAUCUACUUUUUCGUGGGGGAUAACGUAGGGAAACUUACGCUAAUACCGCAUACGACCUACGGGUGAAAGCAGGGGAUCUUCGGACCUUGCGCGAUUGAAUGAGCCGAUGUCGGAUUAGCUAGUUGGCGGGGUAAAGGCCCACCAAGGCGACGAUCCGUAGCUGGUCUGAGAGGAUGAUCAGCCACACUGGAACUGAGACACGGUCCAGACUCCUACGGGAGGCAGCAGUGGGGAAUAUUGGACGAUGGGCGCAAGCCUGAUCCAGCCAUACCGCGUGGGUGAAGAAGGCCUUCGGGUUGUAAAGCCCUUUUGUUGGGAAAGAAAAGCAGCAGGUUAAUACCCCGUUGUUCUGACGGUACCCAAAGAAUAAGCACCGGCUAACUUCGUG
rnacentral:rRNA from 1 species